rnacentral:misc_RNA from 1 species
GAUGAAGAACGUAGUGAAAUGCGAUAAGUAGUGUGAAUUGCAGAAUUCAGUGAAUCAUCGAAUCUUUGAACGCACAUUGCGCCCCUUGGUAUUCCAUGGGGCAUGCCUGUUCGAGCGUCAUUUGUACCUUCAAGCUCUGCUUGGUGUUGGGUGUUUGUCUCGCCUCCGCGUGUAGACUCGCCUCAAAACGAUUGGCAGCCGGCGUAUUGAUUUCGGAGCGCAGUACAUCUCGCGCUUUGCACUCACAACGACGGCGUCCAGAAGUACAUUUUUACACUCUUGACCUCGGAUCAGGUAGGGAUACCCGCUGAACUUAAGCAUAUCAAUAAGCGGAGGA